AGUUUGAUCCUGGCUCAGAUUGAACGCUGGCGGCAGGCCUAACACAUGCNAGUCGAACGGUAACAUUUCUAGCUUGCUAGAAGAUGACGAGUGGCGGACGGGUGAGUAAUGCUUGGGAACUUGCCUUUGCGAGGGGGAUAACAGUUGGAAACGACUGCUAAUACCGCAUAAUGUCUACGGACCAAACGGGGCUUCGGCUCCGGCGCAAAGAGAGGCCCAAGUGAGAUUAGCUAGUUGGUAAGGUAACGGCUUACCAAGGCGACGAUCUCUAGCUGUUCUGAGAGGAAGAUCAGCCACACUGGGACUGAGACACGGCCCAGACUCCUACGGGAGGCAGCAGUGGGGAAUAUUGCACAAUGGGGGAAACCCUGAUGCAGCCAUGCCGCGUGUGUGAAGAAGGCCUUCGGGUUGUAAAGCACUUUCAGUUGUGAGGAAAAGUUAGUAGUUAAUACCUGCUANCCGUUGACGUUAACCACAG
rnacentral:rRNA from 1 species